CCCGGCCCCGGCCCCGGCCCCGGCCGUGUUCCCGUGGCGGCCCGGCUGCCGGCCCGGCCUCUGGCCGAGCGCUUCCGCCGCCUCGCGCCGGGAGCAGGGAGCGCCUCGCGGGGAUCGGCAGCAGCCGCUGCGGCCUGCCUGAAGGGCGGGCGCGCUUCGGCGGCUGCCCGGUGCCGGGACCCGCGGCUCGCGGCAACCCCGCCGGGACGGUGGGCGAACGACGGCGGCGGGGCCGGCCUCGGCGCCUCUGUCGUCCCCGGGGAAGGCGCUGCGGCCGCCAGCCUCGGGCGUAUGGGCGAGGGCACCGGCACGCAGCAGGAGGAGCCUCCCCCGGUGUCACGGGCGCGGCGGCGGGGGGCAGCGGGGCCCCCGGCAGAGCCGCGCGGCGGGACGGAGCCACACCACAGCCGAAACCGGGCCUGGAGACCGCCGGCUUCCGGCUUCCUGCACGGCCGGUGCUUAGACUGACACCGCGACUUGGUUUUCCUGCCGGUGGCUGCUCUCGCUGCUGCUGAAAGCUCUGGAAAGACAUGAAGGAGAAGCAGCUAAAUUUCUCCGUGCUUCUUAAAAUACCUUAAUAGAGAGGGUAUGUAAACUCAUGAGUGUUCUUGUUGCAUUCCUGUGCCUUUGGUUCGUCUUGAAACCUAAAGCGACAGAGCAAAGUUGUGCUGCCUUCCUUGUGUCCUACGGACAUGUUGUUCCUCUCUAAAUCACAGGCAGAAAACAAGAAUCCUGAAGGCCUGAAUUACAUUGCUGAAUACUUGGGUUGCCCAAUGGAAAAACAUAUCGAAUUCUUCUGAAAUGAACUUUGAAAUGGGAUGUCUGCAUCUGUGUCUUGGAUAAUAGGAAUCUGGACAAUCCAAAGGUCCAAAACUUGAAGGAAUUCAGUCUACAGAAACUGGGGUGGAGCAAACUGCAUUGGAGCAAGACACUGAAAAAUGGAAAUUCUCCCUGCCAUGAAAUAUGCUACUCUCAAAACAGGAUGAGAUAUUCUUCGUUAAAUGGAACAUGAUUGUUUCACUCAAAGAGAGGAGCUACAUUAUUCAAACCGUUCUGACUUUUCCUGGACAUGAGUUGAAUCUCAGGAUCAACCUAAGACAAUGCAAGAACACAAGCCAUGAAGUCAGGAAUUUAGAUAAAAGCAAGUGUCUUACCUCUAGUGUUUUUUUUUCUUAGCAAGGAGUUCUGCCUUAUGGGAUCUGGAGUAGACACACUUCUUGUAUUCAUAAUAACAUUCGUCCUGUCUCUCUGUUGUUCGAGUCAAGUAGCAGAACAAUUGGCUGACUAAUUCAAAGUAGACAUGGAUUGAGACCUCUCUUCAUGGAUGACUCUUUUUCUCAUUUGUGGGGAGACAUAGCUCCUGGCUUUCUACUUUCUGGAACAGUCAUUUAAUGAGCAGUCAGCGAGUCAGUCCUUACAAGACAUGCAGACCAAAAUGUUCAGAUGCAUCUACCUAAACGUGUAUGGGAGGCGCUGACCUGAAAGUCCAACAUCCUUUUCCAUAGUGCCAAAUGUCAACCUCGUGCUUGCCUGUCUCAUGGGAAAGUCACACCAUGGAUUUAAAUUAAUUAUUUCAAUCUAGAUACUAUUCUCAAUAAGACACUGGCUGUCAGAAGUGACUUUGUAAAUUAGCUUGCAGAAGACUGGAAAGGGAAGGAAUAGAUGAGAACAAGGAGACAUCCUGAAGGAAGAACCAGGAAAUUGUCAGCAGAAUGUCUGGAUGUUGAGGAUCCUCCUUCUGCACCAGUCAGGAUUCCCCCAUCCUGAGUCUAUCUUUCCCUAAUGAACUAAGCAAAGGAAGAAAUUAACAGACGAGAAAAAAAAAUUACAAAAUGUCAGUAUACCACUUCUUCACCACUUUGGGCUUAAAACAGAAAAUGUUCUGUGCCUUUUUGAGAAUGAUGUACAGAAGAGCCCACAAGAAGCUAGUAGAUGUGGAACAGUAGUGGAGUCUUAAAAGAAUUUAGCUGACAAACUUGGAAGGGUUAUGAAUGGCAUGAACUGAUCAGAGAUGUACAGUUUGGCCAAGUUGCAUGGUUUCCCCCAGGAAUUAUGGGAAGGAUCCAAGCCUGAAGGCUUCUUUCCUUCUAAACUGAUUGCAUGACAUUUUAGUGGCCUCUACCAAGAUGAGAAGGCUUGCAGGCUUCUUAACAACAUGACUAAUGAGCAGAAUUUAUUUUGUUCGUGAAUAAAUAUUUUUUUCUAUCUCA